UCAGGCCACCUGGGUGCAGGACUUCGCCUUCUGGUCAGCGGAACUAACCAGAGUGCAGGGAGGGGAGAGUUAGCCACGCGGAAAGAAGAGACGAGUGUCUCAGAAAGACUGUUGUCAGGGGGCUGCCUUCCCAGAGGUCCUGGAGCACAGACGGUGCCUGGUGCCUGACCUGCAAAUGCUCCCCUGCUCAGCCGGAGAACAGCCAGAUGGCUGCUGCCACCUCCCUCCCUGUGCAAAUAUCUCUCACCCAGCCAAGCAAACAGGCCUCCCUGGAGAAUCUUUGUGACCGUCCAGGCGGAGCGGCUCAGCCCAGACGAUGGCAGCCUGCAUCAGGAAGGGGAUGAAGAUGGACAUGGGGGAGCAGGGGGAGGCAAAGGGAGGUGGCAAAGGGGGAGGGGAGUGCCCCCAAGACCCCCUGUACCAUAGGAUGUGUAGAGGUCAGCUUUUCCCCAUAUCGGACCAUGAGAGGAGAGAGUCUGUCACCUGCAGCAGAAACCAA